UUUAAUUCGAUGCAACGCGAAGAACCUUACCUGGUCUUGACAUCCACGGAAGUUUUCAGAGAUGAGAAUGUGCCUUCGGGAACCGUGAGACAGGUGCUGCAUGGCUGUCGUCAGCUCGUGUUGUGAAAUGUUGGGUUAAGUCCCGCAACGAGCGCAACCCUUAUCCUUUGUUGCCAGCGGUCCGGCCGGGAACUCAAAGGAGACUGCCAGUGAUAAACUGGAGGAAGGUGGGGAUGACGUCAAGUCAUCAUGGCCCUUACGACCAGGGCUACACACGUGCUACAAUGGCGCAUACAAAGAGAAGCGACCUCGCGAGAGCAAGCGGACCUCAUAAAGUGCGUCGUAGUCCGGAUUGGAGUCUGCAACUCGACUCCAUGAAGUCGGAAUCGCUAGUAAUCGUGGAUCAGAAUGCCA
rnacentral:rRNA from 2 species